AUGGAAACUAAUCCUUUGAGGGGCUUGUUCGGGGUAUCUUUGCCCCGACCAGUAGAGAAAAGAGUUGCUCCUCAACCUACUGAACCUACUGAAAAUGUUUACUUUGAAAUUCCUUCGGGUAUGGUAGAGAAACUGCUAGUUAAUCCUUUCACAGGAGAUGGAACAUUGCAUCCCAACUUGCACCUAAUCUAUAUGGAUGAAGUUUGUGGAUUAUUUAAGCUUGCAGGUAUGCCCGAGGAUGUUAUCAAGAAGAAGGUCUUCCCUUUAUCUUUGAAGGGAGAGGCGUUGACAUGGUUUAGGCCAUGUGAGGAUAUGGGAUCAUGGAACUACAACCGAUUGAAAUUGGAAUUUCAUCAGAAGUUCUAUCCUAUGCAUCUUGUUCAUCGUGAUCGUAAUUACAUAUAUAAUUUUUGGCCUCACGAAGGAGAAAGCAUCUCUUAA
rnacentral:rRNA from 1 species